CCCAGAGGUUAGGUUACCGAGCAACAAACAAGAUGGACGAUACAGGCUGAUACACUGAGAGAAUGUCCCAGAGGUUAGGUUACCGAGCAACAAACAAGAUGGACGAUACAGGCUGAUACACUGAGAGAAUGUCCCAGAGGUUAGGUUACCAAGCAACAAACAAGAUGGACGAUACAGGUUGAUACACUGAGAGUAUGUCCCAGAGGUUAGGUUACCGAGCAACAAACAAGAUGGACGAUACAGGCUGAUACACUGAAAGAAUGUCCCAGAGGUUAGGUUACCGAGCAACAAACAAGAUGGACGAUACAGGCUGAUACACUGAGAGAAUGUGCCAGAGGUUAGGUUACCGAGCAGCAAACAAGAUGGACGAUACAGGCUGAUACUCUGAGAGAAUGUCAAGAGGUUAGGUUACCGAGCAACAAACAAGAUGGACGAUACAGGCUGAUACACUGAGAGAAUGUCCCAGAGGUUAGGUUACCGAGCAACAAACAAGAUGGACGAUACAG
ensembl:lncRNA